rnacentral:rRNA from 1 species
UAGGGAAUCUUCCGCAAUGGACGCAAGUCUGACGGAGCAACGCCGCGUGAGUGAAGAAGGAUUUCGGUUCGUAAAACUCUGUUGUUAGAGAAGAACAGCGCAUAGAGUAACUGUUAUGCGUGUGACGGUAUCUAACCAGAAAGCCACGGCUAACUACGUGCCAGCAGCCGCGGUAAUACGUAGGUGGCAAGCGUUGUCCGGAUUUAUUGGGCGUAAAGCGAGCGCAGGCGGUCAAUUAAGUCUGAUGUGAAAGCCCCCGGCUCAACCGGGGAGGGUCAUUGGAAACUGUUUAACUUGAGUGCAGAAGGGGAGAGUGGAAUUCCAUGUGUAGCGGUGAAAUGCGUAGAUAUAUGGAGGAACACCGGUGGCGAAAGCGGCUCUCUGGUCUGUAACUGACGCGGAGGCUCGAAAGUGUGGGGAGCGAACAGG